rnacentral:rRNA from 1 species
ACUCAUACGGGAGGCAGCAGUGGGGAAUAUUGCACAAUGGGCGCAAGCCUGAUGCAGCCAUGCCGCGUGUGUGAAGAAGGCCUUCGGGUUGUAAAGCACUUUCAGUUGUGAGGAAGGUGGUGUCGUAAUAGCGGCACAUUGACGUUAGCGACAGAAGAAGCACCGGCUAACUCCGUGCCAGCAGCCGCGGUAAUACGGAGGGUGCGAGCGUUAAUCGGAAUUACUGGGCGUAAAGCGCAUGCAGGUGGUUUGUUAAGUCAGAUGUGAAAGCCCGGGGCU